CCUACGGGAGGCAGCAGUGGGGGAUAUUGCACAAUGGGGGGAACCCUGAUGCAGCGACGCCGCGUGGGUGAAGGAGCGUUUCGGCGCGUAAAGCCCUAUCGGUAUGGAAGCAGAUGACGGUACCUGUACAAGAAGCCCCGGCUAACUCCGUGCCAGCAGCCGCGGCAAUACGUAGGGGGCAAGCGUUAUCCGGAUUUACUGGGUGUAAAGGGGGCGCAUACGGCAAUGCAAGCCAGGAGUGAAAGUCCGGGGCCCAACCCCGGGAGUGCUCUUGAAACUGCAUGGCUGGAGUACAGGAGGGGUAGGCGGAAUUCGUAGUGUAGCGGUGAAAUGCGUAGAUAUUAGGAGGAACACCGGUGGCGAAGGCGGCCUGCUGGACUGUGACUGACGUUGAGGCACGAAGGCGUGGGGAGCGAACAGGAUUAGAUACCCUGGUAGUC
rnacentral:rRNA from 1 species